CCAGAAGGCUGGACGGCCGCGCCGGGCAUCGCGCCCGGUGAGGAAGGUCCGGGCUCCACGGAGGAACGGUGCCGGGUAACGCCCGGCGGGGGCGACCCCAGGGAAAGUGCCACAGAAAACAAACCGCCGGCCCGCAGGGUGCGCCCCGCCGGUCGGCAAGGGUGAAACGGGGCGGUAAGAGCGCCCCGCGGCCCCGGCAACGGGGCCGGCAAGGUAAACCCCACCGGGAGCAAGACCGAAUAGGAGCGGCAGGCCGGGACGCAUCGUUCCGGCCGGCGGCCUCCGCGCCCGCUGCUCGGGUUGGUCGCUCGAGGCGUCCGGAGACGGGCGUCCCAGACGAAUGGCCGUCGCCGCCCGGAAACGGGCGGUACAGAACCCGGCCUACAGGCCUUCUGGACCG
rnacentral:RNase_P_RNA from 1 species